UCUUGGUCAUUUAGAGGAAGUAAAAGUCGUAACAAGGUCUCCGUUGGUGAACCAGCGGAGGGAUCAUUACCGAGUUUACAACUCCCAAACCCCUGUGAACAUACCAUUUGUUGCCUCGGCGGUGCCUGCUUCGGCAGCCCGCCAGAGGACCCAAACCCUUGAUUUUAUACAGUAUCUUCUGAGUAAAUGAUUAAAUAAAUCAAAACUUUCAACAACGGAUCUCUUGGUUCUGGCAUCGAUGAAGAACGCAGCGAAAUGCGAUAAGUAAUGUGAAUUGCAGAAUUCAGUGAAUCAUCGAAUCUUUGAACGCACAUUGCGCCCGCCAGUAUUCUGGCGGGCAUGCCUGUUCGAGCGUCAUUUCAACCCUCAAGCCCCCGGGCUUGGUGUUGGAGAUCGGCGUGCCCUCCGGGGCGCGCCGGCUCCCAAAUAUAGUGGCGGUCUCGCUGUAGCUUCCUCUGCGUAGUAGCACACCUCGCACUGGGAAACAGCGUGGCCACGCCGUUAAACCCCCCACUCUGAAAGGUGAC
rnacentral:rRNA from 1 species